GAAAAAAGUGUAGAUUAAAAACAAAAUGAUGGUGUUGAGAAAGAAACAAAAGAUGAGAGUGUUGAGGAAGAAAGGGAAGAGAAUAUGGAAGA